UACGGGGGGGGCAAGCGUUGUUCGGAAUUACUGGGCGUAAAGGGCUCGUAGGUGGCCAACUAAGUCAGACGUGAAAUCCCUCGGCUUAACCGGGGAACUGCGUCUGAUACUGGAUGGCUUGAGUUUGGGAGAGGAUGCGGAAUUCCAGGUGUAGCGGUGAAAUGCGUAGAUAUCUGGAGGAACACCGGUGGCGAAGGCGGCAUCCUGGACCAACACUGACACUGAGGAGCGAAAGCCAGGGGAGCAAACGGG
rnacentral:rRNA from 1 species